CCAAUUCGGGCCCUCAUCCGAGGACUCGUCGGGGUGACCCGAAAUGACCCGGAGAAGCCGUAGGGAGGUCCGGGGAGAGUUGUCUCUUCUCUAUAAGCGUUCGAGUUCCCUGGAAGCCUCUAGGAGGGAGAUAGGGUUUGGAACGCGAAGAGCACCGCACUUACGGCGGUGUCCGGAUCUUCCCCUCGGACCUUGAAAAUCCGGGCGAGGGCCACGAGGAACACCGCGCCGGCUCGUACCCAUAUCCGCAGCAGGUCUCCAAGGUGAAUAGCCUCUAGUCGAUAGAAUAAUGUAGGUAAGGGAAGUCGGCAAACCCGAUCUGUAACUUCGGGAUAAGGAUUGGCUCUGAGGAUCGUGGCGCGCCGGGCUUGGUCGGGAAGUGGAGCGGUGCCAACGUGCCGGGCCUGGGCGAGGUGAAGGGCGCUUGUCGUC
rnacentral:rRNA from 1 species